UCUAAACAUGUAAAAUAGAGGGCUUGGCCAUGAACAGAUACCUUCGAUUUUGAGCCCUUCGAUUUUUUUUAAAAAGAACACUGGCCCAACUUCAUUUCAUAAUUUCCUUCAUAUCUAAAAACUUACAGCCGCUCUAUAUAAAUUUCCCCCAAAUCGGAAAUCCUAUUAGGGUUUUAGACCUUUUUCAAGAUUCGAAAGGAAUAAGCUUCAACGUCCAAAUCGGGAGGAAAUGGUGAAGGGACGCCAAGGAGAGCGUGUCAGACUCUAUGUAAGAAGAACCAUCUUGGGUUACAAAAGGGAGAUUGAGUCAGAGUCUUCAUGUACCCUAGCAAUAUCUUACACGUGGAAUUAAACUCCCUGCGUAUGGAUUGCCUUCGAAACCUCAUCUUCUUCUGCUCUAGAAAUUUUAAUAUCGAAUUCCCUUUUUUGAAAGAGUUAAUGAUUGAGGAUUGCCCGAAAUUAAAAGAAUUCAUUAGUAAAAGCAGUACUGAGUCCGGCAUGCAUACUCUCUUUAAUGAGAAGCUUUUUGGCAUAUCCUUUUAAGUCGAUAACAGCUAGUUGCUGCUAUGUUUGGAAUAAGCUACUUUAAACUUCCACAAGCUUAUGAUUAAGGUGGAAUUGCUGUAUCAAUGGUAAUGAAAUAUGCAGACAAUAUUGUGAAGGUCUAUUCUACUUCAGUGGCAAUGCUUCUCACUGCCGUUGUUUCAGUGUUUCUGUUCGGCUUCAAUCUUACCCUUGCUUUCUUCCUCGGUGCUACGUUAUCUCUGGCCACAUUUUAAUAUCCAUACAAUAGAUAGUCUCUCUUGUAUUGAAGCUUCAAAUCUGGCAUCUAGCAUAAUUUAGAGCAUCACCGCCUGUCAGGUGAUCGAGAUUCCGUUUAACAAUUUUCUUUAUUGCUGGAACAAGUCUUAACCAAGAUCAAGGUCAAAGUACUUCACUAAGUUAUAUAUGCAGGCAUUGCAAUGAGAGGUGAUGAUGAUUAGGCAUUAUAUUCUCACCAGGAUGAAUUUUGUUUUAGAAAUUGUAAUACUUUGUGUGUCUCUCUGUGUGUGUUUUUUUAUGUAUUAAAUUUAAUUUCAUUAAUUUCUAUAUUUAGUUUUGAAGUUUAAAUUUUAAUGGAAAAUUUAAUUUAAUUAA